rfam:Myotis davidii contig57083, whole genome shotgun sequence.
GUCAGUGUGGCUCAGUGGAUAGAGUGUCGGCCUGCAGACCGAAGGGUCACAGGUUCGAUUCUGGUCAAGGGCA